rnacentral:rRNA from 1 species
UCUUGAGAGCGGCGGACGGGUGAGUAAUGCCUAGGAAUCUGCCUGGUAGUGGGGGAUAACGUUCGGAAACGGACGCUAAUACCGCAUACGUCCUACGGGAGAAAGCAGGGGACCUUCGGGCCUUGCGCUAUCAGAUGAGCCUAGGUCGGAUUAGCUAGUUGGUGAGGUAAUGGCUCACCAAGGCGACGAUCCGUAACUGGUCUGAGAGGAUGAUCAGUCACACUGGAACUGAGACACGGUCCAGACUCCUACGGGAGGCAGCAGUGGGGAAUAUUGGACAAUGGGCGAAAGCCUGAUCCAGCCAUGCCGCGUGUGUGAAGAAGGUCUUCGGAUUGUAAAGCACUUUAAGUUGGGAGGAAGGGCAGUAAAUUAAUACUUUGCUGUUUUGACGUUACCGACAGAAUAAGCACCGGCUAACUCUGUGCCAGCAGCCGCGGUAAUACAGAGGGUGCAAGCGUUAAUCGGAAUUACUGGGCGUAAAGCGCGCGUAGGUGGUUUGUUAAGUUGGAUGUGAAAUCCCCGGGCUCAACCUGGGAACUGCAUUCAAAACUGACUGACUAGAGUAUGGUAGAGGGUGGGUGGAAUUUCCUGUGUAGCGGUGAAAUGCGUAGAUAUAGGAAGGAACACCAGUGGCGAAGGCGACCACCUGGACUAAUACUGACACUGAGGUGCGAAAGCGUGGGGAGCAAACAGGAUUAGAUACCCUGGUAGUCCACGCCGUAAACGAUGUCAACUAGCCGUUGGAAGCCUUGAGCUCUUAGUGGCGCAGCUAACGCAUUAAGUUGACCGCCUGGGGAGUACGGCCGCAAGGUUAAAACUCAAAUGAAUUGACGGGGGCCCGCACAAGCGG